UGACAAUCUGACCUCAAAUCAGGUAGGACUACCCGCUGAACUUAAGCAUAUCAAUAAGCGGA
rnacentral:rRNA from 1 species